UCUAUUACAAUCAGAAGGGGCUAGGGUUUGGCCUUUUCUACUCCACCCUCACCCUUCACAAAUUCUCCUCCUCCAAUACCGCCAUGGUCGCACCACGCAUGAAUCCGCGCCUCCCUUGACCUCAUCGUCGCCACCGCAUCCCUCAACGUCGAUGCGCAGAUGACCAUGCCGUUCUCCUCUCUGUGCUGACCUCGACGAAGGCUUCUCUCCCCGCCGCCCUCGACGCGAGCUUUCCUUUAAGGCGACGACUCGCUGGUCCUACGGCGGUCGCAGCACCGGAGGAGGAGGAGAUGCGGUGGUGAGGAGGAUUUCGAACGCCAACCUCAUCUGGAGGACUUAUUAGGAGAUUUGGCGAAAAAAGCAACUUCAACAGAGUUCUCAAAUUCCACCAAAGAAGUUGAAGAUAAUGUUUUCAAGGAAAAAAGGGAGAAGACCGGUAUGGUCGAGUGAAGGGUUAUAGGAUUGAUUCUACACCAACACAAGUAUUUGGAAUUCAAGCUCAAAUCAAGAUAUGUAAAAGAAACACGAAUAAGAAAUGAAUGAGAUGACUGUGAUUUAUUUUGAACUUUAUUUUUGUGAAACUUCAAAGUACCAUAAUUUUAUAAUUAAGUUUAUAUGCUAA